rnacentral:rRNA from 1 species
AUUGAACGCUGGCGGCAGGCCUAACACAUGCAAGUCGAGCGGAUGAAGGGAGCUUGCUCCUGGAUUCAGCGGCGGACGGGUGAGUAAUGCCUAGGAAUCUGCCUGGUAGUGGGGGAUAACGUCCGGAAACGGGCGCUAAUACCGCAUACGUCCUGAGGGAGAAAGUGGGGGAGCUUCGGACCUCACGCUAUCAGAUGAGCCUAGGUCGGAUUAGCUAGUUGGUGGGGUAAAGGCCUACCAAGGCGACGAGCCGUAACUGGUCUGAGAGGAUGAUCAGUCACACUGGAACUGAGACACGGUCCAGACUGCUACGGGAGGCAGCAGUGGGGAAUAUUGGACCAUGGGCGAAAGCCUGAUCCAGCCAUGCAGCGUGUGUGAAGAAGGUCUUCGGAUUGUAAAGCACUUUAAGUUGGGAGGAAGGGCAGUAAGUUAAUACAUUGCUGUUUUGACGUUACCAACAGAAUAAGCACCGGCUAACUUCGUG